rnacentral:miRNA from 1 species
AACAUGGAGCAUCAACAGAUC